AUGCUCACAAAAAACAACCCUGCAAAGCCCACUUUCUUCACUGGCCACACAGAUUUCUGUACCAUCUGGCUUUCAUCCCCUGGGGCUCAGCAUUGUGGAUCUGGCAGUCCUGCCUGGGAUAGCAAACGAAGCUCUAACCCUGGAGCUGGAGUCGACAGAGCACUGCAGUUUGAACACGUGGUGGUGAACAGCCCAUUUGAGUUGAUGCAGAGCUUCUUCCAGACUGGAAGGCAGCUUUCGGAACGGCCCAUGCGGGACCCAGGAAAGGACAGAGCACAGGCUCCAGCCUCACGGGAAGGAAUAAGCGGGGACUAGGUGGAGGAAGACAUCAUUUCUGCCCAGCACUGCUGCUGCAACCACAGGGAGACACAGCCGACAGCUUGAGGACAACCUCAAAUACAGGAAAAGGACCCCAAUGAUUGACAGCUGAUGCACCUCAUAGACCCAGCCUCCUGCCAGUUCCUCCUCAAGCCCACCUCUUCCCUCCAAAUACAAGUUACCUCUUCCUCUUCUAUAGUUUGCACAGAACUCUUAAGACAUACAUACAAUUGGCCGGACGCGGUGACUCAUGCCUGUAAUCCCAGCACUUUGGGAGGCCAAGGCGGGCGGAUCAGGAGAUCGAGACCAUCCUGGCUAACAUGUUGAAACCCCGUUUCUACUAAAAAAUACGAAAAAUUAGCCGUGCAUGAUGGUGGGUGCCUGUAGUCCCAGCUACUCGGGAGACUGAGGCAGGAGAAUGGCGUGAACCCGGGAGGCGGAGCUUGCAGUGAGCUGAGAUCCGGCCACUGCACUCCAGCCUGGGCGACAGGGCGAGACUCCGUCUCAAAAAACAAAACAAGACAAGACAUACAUACAAUUAAAUCCAGCAAAAAUUGACUCUGCCUCUGCUAUGCUCCCGGUGCUGCUGGGGUUACCAUAGAGUCUGACACAGUAACCCUGGAGCUGACAGGGGUGGGGGCGCUGUAGAUGUGUGCAGCCAGGGGACUUAUUUUGGUCCAGGGUUCAUGGAAUCCUUCUUUGAAAAAAUGACAGAAUAGGUCAGUGGGGCUCGGCCACGUGUAGGGCAGAUGGUGUGACAUUCCAGACUGAGGGAACCGAGUGUGCGAAAGCGCAGUGGGGAGAGAGCUCAUGGAUGUUCCAGGGGCCCAAAGAACUUCAGUAUGAGUGUCAUAUGGAGAACCAAGGGCGAGAGACUCAAGGCACUGAGGGCUGUAAGGGUGUCAGGGCCAGAUAAAAAAAGUCCCGCGUCGCAGUUGAGUCUGAUUCCAGGGCUAAGAGGAAGUCCCUGAAUGCUAGUAAGCAAAGGGCAUAAGACAUGAUUGCAUCCCAAAGAGAUCAUUUUUGUCUCCCUUGAAUAUUUCCUUAGUAUAACAAUGUCCUCUAUGGCCUAAGAAGCUCCAGCAGGCAGAGCUAUAUCCACCCAUCUUGGCUUCCUCCAGAGCACCGACGGGCCCAGCAUGCACCUUUCUUAGGGAAGGCUUGUUGAGUGGCUGAAUGGCAUUUUCACAUUAAUCCCACCAGGCCCUCUAGAUAAAUUGACUAAGACCAGCAGUCUGAUUCGUGGCACACAGUUCAGCUGAAAGACAUACAGAUGCUUCCACUGUUUCUUUUUAUAUUUUAUAUUUUUAUUUUUUAUAGAGUUCAGUGUCUUGCUAUGUUGCCCAGGCUGGUCUCAAACUCCUGGACUCAAGUGAUCCUCUUGCCUGGCCUCCCAAAAUGCUGGGAUUUUACAGACAUGAGGCACGCCCACUUGGCCUGUUGUCUGUUGAAGACUUCAAAAGAUUCUAUUUUCCUCUAUAAACACUAAAGUGUUUUUUUAAAAAAAUCCUCUUUGCCCAUUGCUUGUUUUUAUAAAAACUAUCUUUAAAUUAAAAAAAAACUUAUGUAACAAUAUAUACAAAAUAAUGCAUAUGAUAACAUGAGCAAUAAUAAUAAAAUGAAUACCAUGAACCCACCACCCAGCCCGAGAACAAGUGUCACCAAAGUCACUAACACAGGCAGUUGAAUGUCGGCGCAGGUUUUACUUCAAACGAGUGUGCUUAGAGCCCUGGGGGCUCUCCAGGAAGACUGAGGGGGCUCUUGCCUAGCGCUCCCCUGCCCUGGGCACCGUCCUCUACUCCAGCUUGGUGUGUCUCCCAUACACACAAAGGCAGGAUCCUUGUGUUUUCAUCUUUGUAUUCCCAGCACUUAGAACAGCCUGGUACGUUGUAGCUGCUGAGUAAAACCGGUGACUGGAGAAAUUUAUUCUGGGGUCUUUAAAAAUGGUCCAGAGACUUAUACUCUCUUCUCAUAAGGCAUCCGCACAGAGCUGCCGCUGUUCUUCUAACUUUGUCUGCCAAGCCUGGGAAUACCUUCGUUUGCAAUUUGUCUCCUCUUGCUUUUCAUUGAAUUCUGUAAAGGUCAUAGUAAUUUGUGUGUUUAUUAAUCGGAUAUUGUUGAGCAGCUCCUGUGUGCCAGGCACUCUGCUAGGUGUUGAGGAUGUGGCCUUUGAAGGGUGGCUGCGCACAGUCGUGUGGAUUGUACACUGCACUGUCCCAGGGCACACCAUUCACAGCACAGCCUUUCCCUAAGGCAUCACUGUGUGCUCCAGGCCUGAGGACAGAGGAGCAGAUCAGACAUAACACCCUUCCCCCAAGCUGGGAAAUGUUCACUUCCAUCAAAUCUGGUGCUUUCGUGCCUGGGAGGCUUAUUUAGGUGAGGAACGGGGUGGGGCUUGAGUCUCUCCAGCAUCAUGACUCCUAAAUCACCCAGCCUUGGCCUUUGAGGACCACAGUGCCUCUGGGGAGAUUCCUUCCCUUCAGUUCCCCACCUGGUACUAACUUUCAGCCCCAGCCAAAUUUUUCCAGAUGGAUUUCUAACCAUGGAAAUGGAGGUUUCUAAUGGAAAUCCCUGCAACCCUUUACUUAGAGCCACUCUGGGAGGCACCACUCUAAUUAUUCAAUUGCCUAAUUCCAUUUAUCUUUCAUGAUCCAUUAUGCACCACUGACAGGCUGCGUCGUCCUUAGCAGAUACAUAACCUAGUCUAAUGGACUCUGGGUGAAGCCAACUACAUUGACUAACGGAUCUAGCUGGUACCUAAUUCCCCUAAACUAUUAUUUUAUAAAUGAACAAGGCAGACAGACACAUUUUCUGCUUUAGGAUAAAUAUUUUAUGAAUUGCCCCGCUGAUACAUUACAUUAUUAGUACAUUAUCCUUCAUCCCUCCCUGAGGUUUGAAGAGCCUGGGUACACACUCAGGAGUACAUUUGGGUGAUUUUAUUGAAUAGGCUGCUUUUAAAAUCUGUUUGUAUUAGUGGAAAAAGAAGAAUAAUUUUGUCUCAUGAAAAGAAAAGUUCUUUAAACGCUGAUUUGCUGUUUCAGUGUGAAAGUCGUCAUCCAGGGACUUUUAGGUUGAUGGAAAUGUCUAAGGUCUACUUAAAAAAAAAUCAGCAGUGGGGUGCGGUGGCUCACACCUGAAAUCCCAGCACUUUGGGAGGCCGAGGCAGGAGGAUCACUUGAGGCCAGGAGUUUGAGACCAGCCUGGGCAACAUAGCAAGACCUCAUCUCUUAAAAGAAAAGUAAAAAAAUAGAAAUAGAAAUAGAAAUAGCUAAUCUUUCCUCCUUGGCAUUCCCCAGUAGGACCAGACAAUACCGGGAAGAAUUUUGCACAAUUCCAGAAAGGAGACUCUUCCUUUUUCAGAGAGCAAGGCAUCCUAACAAAGUCAACCUUUCUUUUUUCUUUUUUCUUUUUUUUUCUUUGAGAUGGAGUCUUGCUCUGUCGCCCAGGCUGGAAUGCAAUGGUGUGAUUUCCACUCACUGCAAGCUCCGCCUCCCGGGUUCAUGCCAUUCUCCUGCCUCAGCCUCCCGAGUAGCUGGGACUACAGGUGCCUGCCACCAUGCGCGGCUAAUUUUUUGUAUUUUUAGUAGAGACUGGGUUUCACCAUAUUAGCCAGGACGGUCUCCAUCUCCUGACCUCAUGAUCCACCCGCCUCGGCCUCCCAAAGCGCUGGGAUUACAGGCGUGACCCACUGCGCCCGGCCUCUUUUCUCUUAAGAUGCCUAUUUCUCCCCACAUAUGCUUGUGUUUUCUUUAUACCCUAGAUGGGCAUUUUAACCUGGAGUGAAAGUGGGGUGGAUUGUGCCAGUCUAAGAAUUAAUGUAGAUAAGCCCUGAGCUUUCAACAUCAUUCUACCCAAAUUGUAGAAAGAAACUGAAUUUGGGUCUCAAUGUCCAUUCCUUUGUACAGGAUAGACAUUGCACACAUUGUUUUCUUGUUCGUAAUUUAUAUGUUUUACAUACAUUAUUUAAUUGACAUAAAGCUGUAGUUAGCCUCUUUAUUGUUUGGUAGCCUUCAUAGGACAACACGAAAGAAAGUAGAGGAGAUGCUUAGAAACUGCAGAAAGACUGAAUCAACCGAUGAUGCGGCCUCUCCCAACCAUAAUGAAUGAAAGACAAAGAUGUGGAACUGAAAGUAAACAUACUAAAUUCUGGGGGUUUUUCUAGUAAGAAAGAGUCCUCAUAUUUGUUCCAGAUAUUAUGUCAAUAUAUCUGCUUACAGAAAUGAAAUUAGUCACCAUAUUUCUUAGGGAUUAAUUAGAAUCAAAUUUAUAGAGAAUGCUGAAUAAUAACCUUUGAUAAAAUGCCAUGUGAAGUUGAAAUAGGAGUAACAUGAAAGGGAGGAAUGAAUGUUAUUAAUGCAUUUACACCUUCUUUGAUUCUCCCUGGAGUGUGUUUUACCUUUGCCAUAAAAUGAAAACAUUUAAAUUUCUUUAAAAUUACAUUUGACUUAAUUAUACCCAAUCCCUGAUACCAGUAAGCCCCAUUUUGCCUGCUUUUCUCUCAGAUAGAGCAACCAGGCUCAUCAUUUCAUAAAGAGUUGUUUUUCUACAGG
rnacentral:lncRNA from 1 species